GAUGAACGCUAGCGAUAGGCUUAACACAUGCAAGUCGAGGGGCAGCACAAGGUAGCUUGCUCUCUGGGUGGCGACCGGCGCCCGGGUGCGUAACGCGUAUGCAACUUGCCCUAUACAGGAGGAUAACCCGUCGAAAGACGGACUAAUACUGCGUAUGCUCACAACUUGGCAUCAAGUGGUGAGGAAAGAAAUUCGGUAUAGGAUAGGCAUGCGUCCCAUUAGCUUGUUGGUGAGGUAACGGCUCACCAAGGCAACGAUGGGUAGGGGAACUGAGAGGUUUAUCCCCCACACUGGUACUGAGACACGGACCAGACUCCUACGGGAGGCAGCAGUGAGGAAUAUUGGUCAAUGGGCGCGAGCCUGAACCAGCCAAGUCGCGUGAAGGAUGACUGUCUUAUGGAUUGUAAACUUCUUUUAUACGGGAAUAACAAGAGUCACGUGUGACUCCCUGCAUGUACCGUAUGAAUAAGCAUCGGCUAACUCCGUG
rnacentral:rRNA from 1 species